rnacentral:rRNA from 1 species
UACGGGGGGGGGCAAGCGUUGUUCGGAAUUACUGGGCGUAAAGGGCUCGUAGGCGGCCAACUAAGUCAUACGUGAAAUCCCCCGGCUUAACCGGGGAACUGCGUCUGAUACUGGAUGGCUUGAGUUCGGGAGAGGGAUGCGGAAUUCCAGGUGUAGCGGUGAAAUGCGUAGAUAUCUGGAGGAACACCGGUGGCGAAGGCGGCAUCCUGGACCGAUACUGACGCUGAGGAGCGAAAGCCAGGGGAGCAAACGGGG